UACAGUUGAUGGUGUGAGACACAAGUCUAAAAAUGCAUUCUUUGCUCUUCGGGGCCUCCCAACACUAGUGCUAAAUGGUCCAUCUUUCACAACAAAAUUGGUAUAUGGUUGUUCCGGAAAGAUUGUGGGUUAACUAGAACAUAAUCACACACAAAGUAAAUAGAAAAGAAAAAUAAAACCAGGUUUUUUCCAACUAGCAAGGACAAAUAUAGUUUUGGUUCUGUAGAAUGAAUGUUAAAUGCAGGAUCCUCAGUCAAGUCAAACUACCCUCCCUGGACUAUGCUUUUGUUUGCUUCUGCUGCCAUUUUCCUAUUUAAGCAGUUCUUCGCCCCAGUGUUUUCUCUCACCCUUGGUGCCGAAGAGGCAAAAAUGUAUGAAGGAAGAGAUGAGGGCGGAGAAAGUGGAUGGAGGAGUUGCGAAGGUGGUAGAGAAAGUGAAGGAGUUGCAGAGGAGGUACAUUAAUGAGAAGUAUAGAAGAGUCCAUCGGGGAAAUACACAGUGAAGACAAGAGAUUUGAGGAAAAGAUCCAAUGUUUGGUUAGUUACAUUUGACAUGGCAAAGGAGGCGGCACAAGCGUGUGAUACAGUGAAGAUUGAGUUCUACAGUGUAAAAGCCAAGACGAUUUUGCCAAUUUCGAUGGACAAAAUAAAUCGAAGUCACAGUCAGAUCAAUAUUGUUGAGUCAUUGAAUGUGGUGGCUAUGGAGGCGGUUGAGGUGGAGGCAAAGGCAGCGGCGAUGGUUGAAUUUCCACCACAGCCACCACAUUCAAUGACUCAACAGUACUGACCUGACUAGGAGUCCGAUUCAUUUUAUCCAUCAGAUUCAGAAAAUUCGUCUUGACUUUCACACGGCGAAACUCAAUAGCCAUCGUAUCAUACGCUUGCGCCCCCUCCUCCGUUGUGUCAAAUGUACCUAACAAAACAUUACAUAUUUUCCUCGGAUCUCUAGUUGCUGCCGUGUAUUUCGCUGACGGCCUCUUCCGUACUCCUCGGUAAUGCACCUCCUCCGCAACCCCUUUCACUUUCUCCUCUGCCUUCGCAACUCCUCCAUUCACUUUCACCUCUCUCGCCGCUGCCUUCGCAACUCCUCCAUUCACAUUCUCUACCCUCGUCGCCCCCUUCCUAUUUUUAUGCUUCUUCGGUCCUAUUUUCACAAGUAAUAAGGAUGAGAGAAAGUAUAGGGUGAAGAGCCGUGGUAGGGGAAGCAAACAAAACCACUGUCAAGGGUGGGAGAGUUUGACUUGACUUAUGUAAUUGUGGGGGGCCGCAUGUACAUUAUUAUUAUGUUUUAUUCUGAAUGUCUGCAGGGAUAUUUGUCUGUAUUUUAUUUCCAAAUGCCACAUGCACAUUUCAAAAAAAGAAGAAAAAGAAAAGGUUAAUAAAUGGGAAAUGAUACUUUCAAUUUGGGUUUAAUGGUUUAUUAUUUUUCGUUUUCUAGGAAAACACCAAAUCAGUCAGUAAUUUCCUGGGAAGGAUAUUCAAUUGUCGCAUUGUACUUUUUUCCGCUCCUUUGUUCAUGUGUGUGUUUUCGAGAUUGCAGCAAUUCUUCAUUCCCCAUUAUGCUGACUCUCUAUGCUUAUCUCUUACUUGAAGGUUGCCAGAAACCGAAUCCUUUUCGCGGACAAACCGAGCCUUACAAUGGGCGAUUAGUUUAAUAAGCUUUUGAUAUUGCUAUGAUUCUGUUUUCAGAAAUUCUAGCUGGUUGCAAUAAAUCUGACUGUUUCCAUUUGAUAUGAAUAUUGCAUAACGGUGGAACUUGAAAAUCUUGAAACAGAAGCACUGAGAUUGCUAGUUAGCUCAGUUCUUCUGCCCUUUGUUUAAUCCUGCCGUGUAUCCCCAGACACCACCCCCAUUGUGGUAGCCUUUCUACCGCACGAGGUAGUGGCAAGGUUUGCAUGCACUCUACCUCCCCCGACAUCACUUGUGAGAUUUCACUGGGUAUGUUUUUGUAAAGUUAGUUGAACUACAUCUGUGUUUGUACCCAAGGCCUCUUAUUACUUGUUUCAAAUUCCAACUUUGUUACUCUAUCCUUGCAUUUAUUGCUACUGCACUAUUUGACUUUUCAAAAAUAUCACCACACACUUUCAAAAAUGUAUUAUUUUUGAAGGAUCCCACAUACACUCGAUAACAACUUUGUGCAACAUAAGUUCCUACUCACUCAAAAAGGAACUCUUAAGGGAUUUGUUUCGCGUGCAGCAACCUGUUUAAUGCUGAAAAAUCAACUCUACAAAAGAUGCAACUUUACUAGGUUAAAUAAAUUGUUUUUACUUAUUGAGUGGAUUUCUUAAUACAAAUACAAGGUUUUGGGGUCAAAGCUAUUGAAGUUUGCUUCCUUGUAAUUGAAACUCUUGCUCCGCCAACUUGGCACAGAAGAAGAUGAGAAAAUGCAUUUUCUUUUUGUUCAUCUACUAAGGGGGAAAAACCUCUACUUCUAUUUUUGGUUUGGUGAAGCAAAAUUCAACUUCUUGUAACAUUGAGCUACGUUGCUUGGACUCUCCAAAAAUGUUGCAGCACCCGUGUUGAACCCUUAAAAGAUACACUACUUUGGAGGAUCAGACACGCACCCAUUAACAUUUUUUAAGAGUCUGAGCAACAUAGACAUUCAGUCUAUGUUUUCUUAGCUGAAAUUCCCUUGAUUUACAAAUUACACUUGAAAUAUAAAACAAGUUAACUUUUAAGCUAAAUCUAGUUAAAAGACGAUCUGUCUCUCUCAAACAAGAUUAAAACUCAUGAAAAAGUCACUUAAGGAAUGGAACACUCAAUUCUUCAAGAAUGUUGUUGAGGAAGCAAAUGAAGAUAGAGAAGCCCAAAAAUAAUUACAGACUGGGAGUUACAAGCUUAUUAAAGGGAGAAGUUUCACAAAUUUAGAACUUUAUCCUAUAUAGCAGAGGUGUAUCUGCAAAAAAGAAGUAAAGUAAAUUGGACAAGACUAGGAGAAUAUAACACCGACUAUUUCUUCUUUGUUAUUAACUAAAGUUCAGUUAUUUCUUCCUGAAUUAGUUAUUAAAGGGCAGCCCGGUGCACUAAAGCUAGCGCUAUGCGCGGUGUCCGGGGAAGGCCCCACCACAAGGGUGUAUCGUACGCAGCCUUACCUUGCAUUUCUGCCGGAGGCUGUUUCCAAGGCUUGAACCCGUGACCUCUUGGUAACAUGGCAACAACUUUACCAGUUACUCCUGGUCCUGAAUUAGUUAUUGUCUUGAAAAUAAUGUAUGUGCAUUUCCCUGUGGCAAGCCAAUCAUUUCUCAUUACUCUGCAAGCUUGUUAAUUUUGUUUUCUCAUCUGUAAUAAUGUAAUAAUGUUAGUACCUUUUUAUGGACACAUUGUGCAACAGAAACUCAAGAUCCUACUGUAGACACCUAAUUUUGUCCCUCUCAAAAUUCAAUUUUAUCGAUUUUUAGCUCACCUUACUACGCACCCUCUUCCAUGUGAUUAUACCCACCAAAAUACAAAAAAUAACAAUCUUUAACAAAAUUCCUAACAAAUUUUAUCUUGUUUUAUCUCAUCCUAAUAACUACCCCACCCCCCACUCACGUCAACACCCCUUCACUUUUUUUUAUUCCUUUUUAACCAACACACUAACAACAAAAUAGGGAGGGGUCCACUAAUUUAUACAUCACACAAUAUAGAUUCACAUAGAUAUGGAUGAACACAAAAAAUGAGGGCCCACAGAGAAUAUUUCCCUCAACAGAAUACUGCUAAUACAAUUCCCAUUUUUGAAUGGUGGGGCCCACGGGUACACCUCACAAAAAAAACACCAAAAUUCCUGUAAAAAAGCAAGGGGCCUCACUGGAAGGGGGAUUUUUUUUUUCUUUCUUCUCCAAGGGAAACGGGAGUGAUCACCAUACACAGAUCACUGACCUCACAACUUUUUCACUAACAAAUACAAAAAAGAGCACUCACAGACACACUCACACUCACCUCACCACAAAAAUUCCCAAAUUCACUGAAAAAAAAAAAGGCACCUCCAUUUUUGCUCCAUUUUCUUGGGAGAAUUAACAGAAAACACACCUGCACGCACUCAUCACACCUAUUUUCCUUUUCCCUCACACACAAAAUCGCACAUAUGGAGAGAUUGAGAGGGAAAGAAGAGAAAUUAAGAGAGACCGAGAGAGAGGAGAAAAAUGUUGAACGGAAAGAGAUAGAGAGAGAGGGAGGUAACAGAGAAAUGAGCGAGAGAAAACAGAGGUUGAGCGGGAUCAGUGAAAACCCGCCAAACUUACCCCAAGUAGAACCAUUUUCGUCGUCAAAUCGAUCAGAAAAAGAACUAAAAACCGACCUCCGUUUCAGUUUCUCCGACCGAACAGUCGCAGAGUGCGAAAUUGAUUACAGGCCUCUUGUUUUCUUUGUGAUUCUGGUUCGGGUUAAUAAGAAAUAGAAUAAAGGGGUUUGGUCGAAUUGGAGUUGGUCCGCUGUUGAGGUUCGAAUCGAAGGUUUCGGAUGCGGAGAAUCCGGAUUCAAUCGAAAUAGUACAUUGAUUUCGAAAGUUUCUUCUAAGGAAUGACCGAAGAAAAUUGUAUUUAUUUACCGGGGAAUGCCCCGGCGUAUCAUGUUUUCGAAGGAGGUUCGUGAUCAAGGCUUGAGGCAUCGGGUAAAGCAUUGGAGCUUAGCCUAGGACUAGUUUAGAAUAGGAUUUAUAUUUUAUGCAUUUUUAUUUUGGGACUGUAUAAAUUGGACCGGACGCUAUAUUUUGGAUUGUUUUGUAUUGUCUGUUGAUUGAUUGUUU